AAAAUCCUCCAAACAUCAAAGAACAAUACACACUAUGCACACACCUUGUUAAAGUUGUAUUUUGGGAGUUACAGCGUGUGGUGAAGUCGGAGGAUAUUUACGUGCAUUUCUCAAAAGGUCUUUCUGUAACUUUAAACCCACCAAACAGAACACACACACAUACACACACAUGGAUUCAAUACAUCAUCCAUUUAUUUAUGUGAGCAUUAAAUAUUUCAUUCUGGUGAACAUCUCCGAUCUACACACCAGAGCUCUGUCUGUAUUCAUGUGGAGUAUCCCUUUAAAUCCACCACGUUAAAGGUGAAAUGUUAUUCAUAGAAAUCUUUCAAAGUGCAA